GAAGGACAGGAUUUCAUAUUGAGAAGAUGUACUGCUGUAAAUCAAGACUACCAGUUUGUGAGCUGAUAUGCAGUGGAAAUUGACAUCCAGAAGGAAGUCAUAGAGGAAACACCAGCUGAUGCAAGUGCUGCAGAAGAAUUCAAUCGAAUAUCAGGAAGAAAUGUGAGAUCCAAGUUCUACGCUGCAUUGGACACACACUGCUCGUUUGAUUGAAAUAAAAAUAAAAAAAACAGGAGAAAAUUGCAGAAGAAAACUAGAAGAAAUUUUCAACAUGUUAAUUCAAAGGUCAUCUGGCAGCAGUUCUCCGGGGUCUUUCAGUCCUUUAGAGGGAUGAGUCUAAAGAAAUUUUCAGGAUGUGUUUUAAUGUAAUUGUAGAGUCGGACUUCAGUGCAGAAGAUGUUGGCCUGCUGACUGUCGUGUGUGAAGAUGUCUAAAGAACCUCAUUAUGGAUGCAAUGUGGGCCUUUAUACUGGAAGGAAAAGUGGUUAUGGACUUUGCCACAUGCAGUAUGUCUCUUUUUUUGCUUUGAUUUACACACUGAAUUCGGACUACCCAAAGACUUUGAGCAAUGCAUUUGAAUUUGUUCAACGUGUGUUGCUUUUGCUGGGAGGGAAGCGUAAUGUGUUUUAUUCGUCGAGUGCCUAUAUACUGCUGUGCUUUAUGUUUAAAGGUUCAGGUAUAAUGGCAUGUUUAAUUACAAAGUGUUGCUUUUUAACAUGUUGCUGUUUGCAGUGUUACAUUUAGGACUGCAGCAUUUUGGUGUUUAAAACACUUUUUUUUUUUUUUUUUACCAAAAAAGUGUAUUGUGAUUUAUAGGGUUGUCAAAAGUAUUGAGUUUGGUACC
ensembl:processed_transcript